UCAAAACCUCUUUACCGUUAUUAUGGUACAUCAUCCCGAUAGUUCCUCCGGUGUUGAUGACCAAGACUCGCGCUUCAGCACAGGGGCUCACAUCUAGAGACUCAACACUGUUGCUGCUCGACAACCUCCUUCGUCGGCCUGGCUGUGCCACAUUGCUCCGGUAAAAAGAAGUUUGCGAUUUAAACACAUCAGACUGAUCAAGUUGACUCAACCUUGAAUGGGACAAAGCUCUAGUGAGAGAGGUCAUUUCUGAAGCUGGAGACGGAUAUGAGAUGUAUGGUGACUUCACGUUUGGAUGAACGGACCAACGGGACUGCCAUGGGCAAGUCCCUUGACGGGUACCAGGAAUGGUGGAAGGAGGACAAUCUGAAGCUGUUUUUGUAUAACGUACUUUGAGGUCACUGAUACUCCACCUGAUGUGGAAGUUGUCAAACCAGAUCAGAACGCCUUCGAAGUCCACUUUCAGGCAUGGACUGAGAAGGAUGUGGAGGUUUUUGACUAGGUGAGAUUGAACAUGGACUGAGCGCAUGAGAAAAAGGAGAGCCACCCGAGAAGAAUCAAGGGGACCAAGUGCUUCGACAUCUAGGUGAAUUAUUUGGCUUGGAAGAAGGACGAAAGGAAGGCGAGACCCCGGAAAGCUUGGUGCUCUUUCGCUCCUAGCUGGGGUCAACAUCUGUUAAGGGACCAUCCCUUACCAACCCCACUGACAUCAAAAAUUACACAGGACCUAGGGGUUCUGCCUAACACCCAGACAUGGAUCCACCUGAUGUCCUCCAUUACCAACCACCCUCCAACUUUUCAUUACAUCAGCUACUGUUAUUGUCAAGUUGUCAUUAUCUGCUAAGAAAGAGCAAGACAAUUAUCAUACUGGGCACAUAAUGUGAGCUGCACAGAUUAGCUAAAAACACUAGCACUGCAAACACUCAGAACAAAGAGGGCAGCAGCGCCUGGACUUCGCAGUUUGCCUCUUCGAGUCCACUACCUGUUGAAAACAAGUGACAGGCAGAACCUCCCAUCCACACAAGCCCCACCUGCUCUCAAUUCCACACACCAGAAUUCUGUAUUUCAGUCUAUGAUUGCCAUGUGAGUGCACAAAAAAUCUGAAUGUAAAUUGACACACAUGUACCAAAAAAAUAUCAAUGGUUAUGUAUUUAAAUCUAAAAUAUUGCUAGAUUGGUUUUCACAGCUGUUUCAUAAGGUGUUCGUUAUUGUAAAUUGUAACUAUCUCUUGAUGGUAUUUGUUAGUUCAACAUUAUUAGUUGUAACAUAAGACAAACAAUAUAUAUAUAUAUAUUCAACCACAGGGGUGUACUAAUGAGCUAUGAUUUAAAUGUAAAAAAAUUGUAUCAUAAUUGAGGACUAAAGUUAUUUCAGUGUAGGUAAGGGAAUGCCUGUUUAAAAUGAAUACAUGCCAGCCAGACAAGCCAGUGUAUGAAUCAAAUGUAUUUGCUUUGUGAUAGGUAAGGUAAGUCACAUUAAUGUGUGUGGGGGGCAUUGAAAUGAUAUUAUGUUUACCCUGAUGCCUGUUUAAGAUGAUAAAUAACAUUCAUCGCAAUGGUUAGCUUAUGCAAAUAAUAUGAAUACAUUUUGCCUAAUUAGUAAAUGACGUGGGGGAAAAUCGGGAUCCUAGUCAGGAUUUUGUUUGUCAAUUCCAGAUUAAAUAUAUGUCUUCAUGUCUAUCAAAUAUGUAGGUAA